UAAAAAAAAAAAAAAAUUUAAAUAAGCGAAUUCCGUAGUCUCUAUUGGUAACCCAGGAGGAAAACAAAUACAAAGUCCCUGUGUGAUGUGUGUCAAGUAGCCUUGAUUUCCAGCGUUACCCUGUGGCGGGGCGUCCCUUAUUGCUAUGGGGAAUGUUGCCAUGGGUGGAUUACUUCAACAUCAACAUGUGGAAGUUUGGAGCCAGGAAUCCAGUGGUAGGGGUGGUGGUGGUGGUGCAGAGCCUGGAGGAUGAAAUGGACUUGUCUGAGUGCAACCCAGCGCUCAAAGUCUCCGCCUUACCAACACACUAAUACAGAUUGUGUUAAGAUGCGGAGAAAGAUAGACCAAGGCAAGAGGAGUAGGAGGAAGAGGAGGAAGAAAGAGGUAGUGGAAGAUAAGAAGAGGAAGAGAAGAAAGAAGGAAUGAAGAGAAAAAAGAAAAGGUCUGGGCCAAGAACUGCAGACAUAAUGGUUGUGUGCUUUGCUGCCUGACAAUUGCAACAAGAAGAGAAAUUGUGACCCAUUUCCCCCACCCCCCUGCUUAAAUGAUGUCAGUAUAUGAGCACAUGAAUGUAUAUCUGGUGUAUGGUUGCCUAAUGUAUGUUAGUUAGGUUAGUUUAGGUUAGGUUGGUCAAGAUGUAGUAAUUUACAAUAGCCUACACAUUUAACUGCCAGGAAAUCUGUUGGAAAUUGCAAAUUGUGUACUUUACUUCAUUGUUUAAGACAUUCAUUUUUACCUAAGUGGUUUGUUCGGUUGGUUUAUCUGUGAUGUGACGCACAUAAGGUAGCACUAUUUUCUCCAACUUCUUUUAUCAUUACCAUUAGCUCUUGUUUAGAAUAACAAAGAUCAUUAUUGCUGUAUUGGGACUGAUAGUAACAGGUGACAAAUUUACUGUUCUGUUUGUUAUUGUGUUUCCAAAUUAACUAUCAUCUGUGCAGCCAGCCUGCUUCAUACUCUUCUCUUUCACCCAUAUGUAUUUUCAUUGCAUGUAUUAGAAAUUUUUAUGCACAAUUUCAUUUCCUCACCCUGCCAUCUUUAUUAUGAUAAAGUAUUUACCCUAUAGGAAAAGAAAAUGUACAUUAUUUAUCUAUUCUUUAUUAAGGUUAGUUUCUAUACUACAAUGUUUAAGCCAUCUUUCAUGCAAAAAUAUAUGAAAAUGAAA
rnacentral:lncRNA from 1 species